rnacentral:antisense_RNA from 1 species
UUCAGUACGACAUUGCUCACAUUGCUUCCAGUAUUUCUUGCCCACUUUUAAGUGGGCUUUUUUU